rnacentral:tRNA from 2 species
GUGUCGGUGGCUGAGAGGCUGAAGGCGUUAGUUUUGAAAACUAAAGGUAGGCAAUCCCUACUCAUGGGUUCGAAUCCUAUCCGACACA